ACAAACCGGAGGAAGGUGAGGAUGACGUCAAGUCAGCAUGGCCCUUACGUCCUGGGCGACACACGUACUACAAUGCGAGGGACAGAGAGCAGCCAACCCGCGAGGGAGAGCGAACCUCUUAAACCCUGGCACAGUUCAGAUUGCAGGCUGCAACUCGCCUGCAUGAAGGAGGAAUCGCUAGUAAUCGCAGGUCAGCAUACUGCGGUGAAUCCGUUCCCGGGCCUU
rnacentral:rRNA from 1 species